UGGGGAAUAUUGCACAAUGGGGGCAACCCUGAUGCAGCCAUGCCGCGUGUGUGAAGAAGGCCUUCGGGUUGUAAAGCACUUUCAGUGGGGAGGAAAGGUGAGUGGCUAAUAACCCCUUACUGUGACGUUACCCACAGAAGAAGCACCGGCUAACUCCGUGCCAGCAGCCGCGGUAAUGCGGAGGGUGCAAGCGUUAAUCGGAAUGACUGGGCGUAAAGCGCACGCAGGCGGUCUGUUAAGCCAGAUGUGAAAGCCCCGGGCUCAACCUGGGAACUGCAUUUGGAACUGGCAGGCUAGAGUCUUGGAGAGGGGGGUAGAAUUUCCGGUGUAGCGGUGAAAUGCGUAGAGAUCGGAAGGAAUACCAGUGGCGAAGGCGGCCCCCUGGCCAAAGACUGACGCUCAGGUGCGAAAGCGUGGGGAGCAA
rnacentral:rRNA from 1 species